GCUGGGCAUGGUGGCACAUGCCUGUAGUCCCAGCUACUUGGGAGGCUGAGGCAGAAGGAUCACUUGAGCCCAGGAGUUCAAGGCUGUAGUGAGCUAUGAUGGCACCACUGCACUGCAGCCUGGGUGACAAAGUGAGACUCUGUCUCUA
rnacentral:SRP_RNA from 1 species